UAAAAAAAAAUGAAAAAGUAUGUUACGAAAUGUUUAAAUACAGUAGGUGAUCGUUAACAAAUAAUACGGAUUGCGAACAAAUCAUUUAAGAUUUGUAAAAGAUUUAUAUGUUUUGAUUUAUAUCUUUUCACGGAUUAUGUUCAUUAACCGAUCAUCUGUAUAUAAGGAACACAUUUACAUUAUAUUGUAUUACAUAAUCUGUAUUUAUUUUGGAUUUUGAUGAAAAUUCAUUCUGGCUCUAACCGCCAAACAGGAAGGUCAUAUCGCUCCCCUAACAUCCUAAAAAGUGAUCAUAAACACAUGUGGGUACCACAUCUAAUUCUGUGAAAGUGAACAUUAAAAUAAAAACACACAAAGUGAAAAUAAUAAAAAUACAUAAAUAUGAAGAUGAUGCCAACCAAAGUUGUAUGUUCUGAAUGGAGAACGAUGCAAUGAAAAUGAUAGAAAUGGAAUCUCACAAACUCCAAAUAAUUGGAAAAAAAAUGUCCAACCACACAACAUCAAAAUCUUAAAAAAAAACAGGGUAGGAACUCCAAGACACGAAUAUGCAAUAUUAAACUUAUCAACUCAAGAAAGAAAUGAGUUACCGGUAAUAAAAUAUGUAGUACAUGAAACGCAUUUAGAGAAACUGAAUAGAAAGCUAUACGAUACUAACACUAUAAUCACAGAUAUGCUGCAACACUGAUACGCGUGCUAAAUGUGUGAAAACAAAAUCAAUACAAUGUCGAACAUCCGACUGACUACAAAGGAUUUACUAUAUAUAAAAAAAAAUAAAAGAACGAAUAUAACCUGUAUCUAUAACAAUAAAUUAAACUAUUGCAAGAUCAGAUUCUCAACAACUAAGAUCAAAAUACUCAGUAACAGCAGCAAUAAAAGUCUCAUCAGACAUAUAAAUAACAAAAAACAACAACGACAAAAAUAGACAAAAACAAUAGGACUAUGGAAUUUAGCCUUCCCAUAAUGACGUGUAACUAUUGUACAAUAGUUGCCGAAAGGCAGCCUCGACAAAAGACAACAACCAUUUCUCCAAAAACAGUCGAUGGAACAGUCGUUGAAUCUAAUAAAAAAAAUGUACAACGCAAUAAAAGGAUCUGGAUUUGCGGUAAACAACGACCAUCCCAUAUUAAACAACUCACUGCGAAUAGCCGCAUGGAAUACAAACUAAGUCAUCAUGCAGUAAGUAAGUUACUUAAAAAUCAUAAAAUUGAUAUUUUGCUAAUUUCAGAGACACAUUUCACGGAUAAAAGCUUUUUCAACAUUUCCGAAUUUAUGUACAACACAAAGCAUCCGAAUGUACUGUUCAUGACGGGACAGCAGUUCUUAUAAAAUCGUAAAUUAACCAUUGUGAAUUGGUAAAUUACGAAGUAAAUUAUCUACAAGCAAUAAAAAUGUGUAUCCAAAUACACCAUUAAAAAGGAACACUUUAAAAAUAAUUAUGAUAUAUUGGGAUCUCAUUUCAUUGCAGAUGGUUAAAACAUAGGAUACAUUUAUUUCUAUGGUCUGGAGACUAGCUACAAACAGAAAAAUAAAUAUUUAUAAUAACUAUUGCAAAUUAAGUUUACAAAUCUCUACUAGUAAUAUUAAAAUCAGUAUGGAAGCAUGCUAUUCAAUUGUGGAGUGGAAUCAGCAAAUUGUACAUACAAAUUAUCUAAAGGUUUCAAUGAAAAUGCAUAAGGAAUAAAAACAGGGCAUCGUGGUUUAUCUCACGAAGAUAUGUUGAAAUCACAUACUAAUGUUCUAUUUACAAGCUUGAUAAUAACAAAACAACCAAUAGGCUUAAGCAUUAUAAAUCACUAGACUUAGUAUAUAGACUUAAGUAAAUAAUUAUUUAUUAGUUUAUUCAUU